rnacentral:rRNA from 1 species
UCCCAGACUCCUACGGGAGGCAGCAGUGAGGAAUAUUGGUCAAUGGGAGGAAUCCUGAACCAGCCAUGCCGCGUGCAGGACGACGGCUCUACGAGUUGUAAACUGCUUUUGUACCGGGGUAAAAUGCCUUACGAGUAGGGUUUUGAAAGUACGGUACGAAUAAGGAUCGGCUAACUCCGUGCCAGCAGCCGCGGUAAUACGGAGGAUCCGAGCGUUAUCCGGAUUCAUUGGGUUUAAAGGGUGCGUAGGUUGUUUUAUAAGUUAGCGGUGAAAUACCGGGGCUCAACCCCGGGGCUGCCGUUGAAACCGGAGCGCUAGAAUUCCGAUGCCGUCGGAGGAAUGUGUGGUGUAGCGGUGAAAUGCAUAGAUAUCACACAGAACACCGAUUGCGAAGGCAUCUGACGAAUCGGAGAUUGACGCUGAUGCACGAAAGCGUGGGUAUCGAACAGGAUUAGAUACCCCCGUAA